rnacentral:rRNA from 1 species
ACGGAGGAUCCAAGCGUUAUCCGGAUUUAUUGGGUUUAAAGGGUGCGUAGGCGGCGCGGAAAGUUGGGUGUGAAAUCCCUCGGCUCAACCGAGGAACUGCGCCCAAAACUACCGUGCUCGAGGGAGAUAGAGGUGAGCGGAACUUAGGGUGGAGCGGUGAAAUGCGUUGAUAUCCUAAGGAACACCCGUGGCGAAAGCGGCUCACUGGGUCUCUUCUGACGCUGAGGCACGAAAGCUAGGGUAGCGAACGGGA